UCUCCCCUAGCUCAGCUGGUUAGAGCGUUCGACUGUUAAUAUCCGGCACUGGAAACGGCGAUCGAGAGGUCGACAGUUCAAUCCUGUCGGGGAGAG